GAGUUUGAUCCUGGCUCAGGAUGAACGCUAGCGGCAGGCCUAAUACAUGCAAGUCGAGGGGCAGCACAGGUAGCAAUACUGGGUGGCGACCGGCAAACGGGUGCGGAACACGUACGCAACCUUCCUUUAAGUGGGGAAUAGCCCAGGAGAAAUUUGGAUUAAUACCCCGUAAUAUCAUGGAGAGGCAUCUCUUUGUGAUUAAAGCUCCGGCGCUUAAAGAUGGGCGUGCGUCUGAUUAGGUAGUUGGUGAGGUAACGGCGUCACC
rnacentral:rRNA from 1 species